AUUCCUCAAAAUUUUCAGGUAUUUUAUAGGCAGG
rnacentral:antisense_RNA from 1 species